GUGGGGAAUAUUGGACAAUGGGCGCAAGCCUGAUCCAGCAAUGCCGCGUGUGUGAAGAAGGCCUUCGGGUUGUAAAGCACUUUUGUUAGGGAGGAAAGUCUUGUAGCUAAUAACUGCGAGAUAUGACGUUACCUAAAGAAUCAGCACCGGCUAACUCUGUGCCAGCAGCCGCGGUAAUACAGAGGGUGCAAGCGUUAAUCGGAAUUACUGGGCGUAAAGGGUCUGUAGGCGGAUUAUUAAGUCGGAUGUGAAAUCCCCGGGCUCAACCUGGGAACGGCAUUCGAUACUGGUAGUCUAGAGUGUGCAAGAGGAUGGGGGAAUUCCUGGUGUAGCAGUGAAAUGCGUAGAGAUCAGGAGGAACAUCAAUGGCGAAGGCACCUUUCUGGGGCAACACUGACGCUGAGAGACGAAAGCGUGGGGAGCAAACAGGAUUAGAAACCCCGGUAGUCC
rnacentral:rRNA from 1 species